UCCGACCCACCCGACAACCUAAGACCUACCUAUAAACCGAGAUACACAAGAACGCCUAAAAGGGGGACAUUCUGCAAAAAAGUAGCAGCCGCAGACCUUAAGGAGGAGAACAAAAAAUGGCGACUGAAAAAAUCUAAGAACAGACAGCCGCAACAGAGCAAGAAAAAUGAUCCCCCCUGUAGCUCGUCUCCUUCACACCCACCCCAAUAAUGCCAUUCUGCUCUUCUUCAUCAGCGUGUCACCAUUGGCAGCGAGCUACUCAAAAAGCUCCACCAUUAGGUGCGAUGCCUUCAUAAACUCAUGAGUUCGAUUGCUCUUGACCAAGAACUUAUUGGAAAAAAUACGCACACAUACAGCCGCUGAUAAUCUAUGACCUGCCGAAAAUAAAGGUUAGAAAACCUGAAAAUGACCACCAUUUCACGAAUCAAAGCUCAAGCUCGAACCAGUCGAAAGUUCCGGUCACCAGCACUGUGCCGUCCCGUGCGAUGUCGUCGAGUCCAUGUCCCAUUCAGGGUCAUUCUCUAGUUCGUAUUCUGGAUUGCAAUUUUGGAUUCAUCAAUAAAUUACCCCUUUGACUAACUUGGCAUCAAAAAGAGGUUCAUUUUGUUCCUAUUUUACAUAAUUAUAUGAUUGUUUGAGUGAGUUGUUUGUGUAGAUUUUUUUGAUAUGCCAUGAUGAAUUCUGUUCAUUAGCACACAACUUCUUUAAUCAGCAAUUUGAAGGUGUGUUUUCAAUUCUUAUUGUUAAUACUCACUAUGUAUUCUUUCUGUUAAUGAAAGAGUUGUAGUAAGUGCUGUAUACGUAGGUUUAUGACCUCUAUAAUUUCAUAUCGUGUCAUGGCUUUUGAAUUAUUUUGUUUGACUUCAUUUGUUUCCGUCUGACUUGUUUGCCCACUAGGCUUGUUUUCUGUUUAGUUAACUGUAAAUAAUUAGUUAUUAUGCUUUCUCUUUUCUCUUGAAAUUAAAGGAAUUAAAUUGAGUGUGGUG
rnacentral:lncRNA from 1 species